CCGAGAAACUUAACUCUCCUU
rnacentral:snRNA from 1 species